CUCCCUCCUUACGGAAAGGGAUGCUCCCUAGCUGUUGACCAUAAGAAGUCAAACUCUCUGUAUAGAACCAACAACGGUGAGUAAAACAGAGUGAAUUUCUCAAGCACAGCCUCUGAGACUGAUUCAGGUCCCUCAUCCAACAAAUGGAAAUAAUAAAACAGAUCCUGUCUACCGUCAUGAGGAUGUUUCAAGAACCUGAGAGUAAUAAAUAUUUAAAGCUGGAAACUCAGAGUCCAUCUGUCCCACCCCUCAUUUUAUGGAUGAAGGCAGUGAGGCCCGACAGACCAAGUGACCACUGAAGGUACAGCUAGGGAGGGGCACAGCCACCACCUGAACCCAAGGUUUGCCCCUGUGCUCUUUCCACCGGACCACACUGUUCCCACGGGGAAUGUAAGAUUGUGAUAUAAAUCGGUCAGAGAUGA